CGCGGCCUAUCAGCUUGUUGGUGAGGUAAUGGCUCACCAAGGCGACGACGGGUAGCCGGCCUGAGAGGGCGACCGGCCACACUGGGACUGAGACACGGCCCAGACUCCUACGGGAGGCAGCAGUGGGGAAUAUUGGGCAAUGGAGGAAACUCUGACCCAGCGACGCCGCGUGAGGGAUGAAGGCCUUCGGGUUGUAAACCUCUUUCAGUAGGGAAGAAGCGAAAGUGACGGUACCUACAGAAGAAGCACCGGCUAACUAUGUGCCAGCAGCCGCGGUAAUACAUAGGGUGCAAGCGUUGUCCGGAAUCAUUGGGCGUAAAGAGCUCGUAGGUGGUUCGAUACGUCGGAUGUGAAAAUCAGGGGCUCAACCCCUGACCUGCAUCCGAUACGGUCGAGCUAGAGUUUGGUAGGGGAGACUGGAAUUCCUGGUGUAGCGGUGGAAUGCGCAGAUAUCAGGAGGAACACCGAUGGCGAAGGCAGGUCUCUGGGCCAAUACUGACACUGAGGAGCGAAAGCGUGGGGAGCGAACAGGAUUAGAUACCCUGGUAGUCCACGCCGUAAACGGUGGGCGCUAGUUGUGCGAACCUUCCACGGUUUGUGCGACGCAGCUAACGCAUUAAGCGCCCCGCCUGGGGAGUACG
rnacentral:rRNA from 1 species